GUGGGGAAUAUUGGACAAUGGGCGAAAGCCUGAUCUAGCCAUGCCGCGUGUGUGAAGAAGGUCUUCGGAUUGUAAAGCACUUUAAGUUGGGAGGAAGGGCAUUAACCUAAUACGUUAGUGUUUUGACGUUACCGACAGAAUAAGCACCGGCUAACUCUGUGCCAGCAGCCGCGGUAAUACAGAGGGUGCAAGCGUUAAUCGGAAUUACUGGGCGUAAAGCGCGCGUAGGUGGUUCGUUACGUUGGAUGUGAAAUCCCCGGGCUCCACCUGGGAACUGCGUCCAAAACUGGCGAGCUAGAGUAGGGCAGAGGGUGGUGGAAUUUCCUGUGUAGCGGAGAAAUGCGUAGAUAUAGGAAGGAACACCAGUGGCGAAGGCGACCACCUGGGCUCAUACUGACACUGAGGUGCGAAAGCGUGGGGAGCAAACAGGAUUAGAUACCCCUGUAGUCC
rnacentral:rRNA from 1 species